CAAACUGAAGAUGGCGACCGGCGCACGGGUGAGUAACACGUAUCCAACCUGCCGAUAACUCCGGAAUAGCCUUUCGAAAGAAAGAUUAAUACCGGAUAGCAUACGAAUAUCGCAUGAUAUUUUUAUUAAAGAAUUUCGGUUAUCGAUGGGGAUGCGUUCCAUUAGUUUGUUGGCGGGGUAACGGCCCACCAAGACUACGAUGGAUAGGGGUUCUGAGAGGAAGGUCCCCCACAUUGGAACUGAGACACGGUCCAAACUCCUACGGGAGGCAAGCAUG
rnacentral:rRNA from 1 species